UUGUCCAAACAUUACUUAAACUUGCUUUCUUUCCAAUAAAAAUGGAGGGCAGAAAAUUUGUUAGGAUUGUUGAAGUUAUAAUGGUGGUGAUAAUGGUGGUUUUGAGUGGAAUUUUGACUACAAACCCGAUGAUGUUGGCACUGGCAAGGCGGUUGAAUGAAGAGGUGGUGGCCGUAGGUGGUGUUGGUCCGGAUGACCAUUCGCCUAUUCCCCCGAUCAGGUCAUCUUGCAAAUCCCAUAUUCCGAGUCCCACAUGCCCUCCCUAUUCUUCAAUGCAUAGGUAAAAUGGCAAAUUGGGAUAGCAGAAAAGAUCAAAAGAAAUGCAGAGUUGUGAUAGAAACAGCUUGUUUCUUGAUUAUGUUUAAAGUUGAACAUGUAGUCAAAGGAUUAAUGUUUGUUUGUCUGAUGCUUGCGAAUAGUUGUAAUUGUAGGGACUACGAUUUAGUUGUAAUAAAAUACUUGAUUUAAGAAAAUAAAUGAAAGGAUUAUUGUGUAAAUUAAAUUAAAUUAUUA